AAAAAAAAAAUUAGUUGGAUUAUCCUGAAAGUCAUACAGAAAUUCAGGCAACCCAGAAUAGCCAGAACAAUCUAGAAGGAGACAAAGUUCUGGAGAACUGACACUUUAUGACUUUAGGAUUUAUUACACGGCUGUCAUAAUCCAGACUGUGUGCCGCUGGCAUAGGGACAGACAUCAUCAGUGGGAUAGAGUGGAAAGUCUGGGGUUAAAUCCCGACGUCUGUCACCAGUUGAUGGCAAGAGUAUACAGACCAUUCAAUGAGGGGAAGAAUAAUCCUUGGGACAAAUGAUGCUGAGACAACUGGAUACCCUACGCAGAAGAGUGAACUUGGACCUAAAUGUGCUCAGAAUUUUGAUGUCAUCCGACUGUCAACGUACAGGACAGCUUGCAAGUUACGAUUUGUACAGAAAAGAUGCAACCUCCACCUCGUUGAUAUCUGGAACAUGAUUGAAGCCUUCCGAGACAACGGCCUUAAUACCCUGGACCACACAGCUGAGACCAGUGUGUCCCGCCUGGAAACUGUCAUCUCCUCCAUCUACUACCAGCUGAACAAGCGCCUUCCCUCCACCCACCAGAUCAGCGUGGAGCAGUCCAUCAGCCUCCUCCUCAACUUCAUGAUCGCAGCAUACGACAGUGAGGGCCGAGGCAAGUUGACGGUAUUUUCAGUUAAAGCUAUGUUAGCAACCAUGUGUGGUGGAAAAAUGCUGGACAAAUUGCGAUAUAUUUUCUCGCAGAUGUCAGAUUCCAAUGGCUUAAUGAUAUUUAGCAAGUUUGACCAGUUUCUGAAGGAAGUGCUGAAGCUCCCGACAGCUGUCUUCGAAGGGCCGUCCUUCGGCUACACGGAGCACUCGGUCCGCACCUGUUUCCCGCAGCAGAAGAAGGUAAUGCUCAACACGUUCCUAGACACGAUGAUGGCCGACGCUCCGCCCCAGUGCCUUGUCUGGCUGCCGCUCAUGCACAGGCUCGCCCACGUCGAGAACGUCUUCCAUCCCGUGGAGUGCUCCUACUGCCGCUGUGAGAGCAUGAUGGGCUUCCGGUACCGAUGCCAGCAGUGCCACAACUACCAGCUCUGCCAGAACUGCUUUUGGCGUGGCCAUGCCAACGGCAGUCACAGCAACCAGCACCAGAUGAAGGAGCAUUCCUCUUGGAAAUCCCCUGCGAAGAAGCUGAGCCAUGCAAUUAGUAAAUCUUUGGGGUGUGUGCCCACCAGAGAGCCCUCGCAUCCUGUGUUUCCUGAGCAGCCAGAGAAACCACUGGAUCUUGCACAUAUAGUUCCUCCCCGCCCUCUGACUAAUAUGAAUGACACCGUGGUCAGCCACACGUCCUCCGGAGUGCCCACGCCCACCAAGAGGUCACAGUGCAGCCAGGGCGUAGCCGGUGCCUUGGCCGAUGAGCAUGUGCUGAUAGCCUCCUAUGUGGCCCGUCUGCGGCACUGUGCACGCGUCCUGGACAGUCCUAGCCGAUUGGAUGAGGAGCACCGGCUGAUAGCGCGCUAUGCUGCCCGGCUGGCUGCAGAGGCAGGAAAUACGACUCGACCUCCCACGGACCUGAGCUUCAACUUUGAUGCCAACAAACAACAAAGACAGCUCAUCGCAGAACUGGAAAACAAGAACAGGGAGAUCCUGCAGGAGAUCCAGCGCCUGCGCCUGGAGCACGAGCAGGCGUCGCAGCCCACGCCCGAGAAGGCGCAGCAGAACCCCACGCUGCUGGCCGAGCUGCGGCUGCUGAGGCAGAGGAAAGACGAACUAGAGCAGAGGAUGUCAGCGCUGCAGGAAAGCCGGCGUGAGCUGAUGGUGCAGCUGGAAGGGCUGAUGAAGCUGCUGAAGGAGGAAGAGCAAAAGCAGGCAGCUCAGGCCGCGGGAUCCUCACACACGUCACCCACUCACGGAGGUGGCCGCCCCAUGCCCGUCCGCUCCGCGUCUGCCGGCUCCACGCCCACCCACUGCCCGCAGGACUCGCUGAGCGGCGUCGGCGGAGAUGUGCAGGAGGCGUUCGCACAAGGUACGAGGAGAAACCUGCGCAGUGACCUGCUGGUGGCUGCCGACUCCAUCACCAACACCAUGUCAUCCCUGGUGAAAGAACUCCGAUCAGGUGAAGCCCAGGGCUCCCACGCGGCACACGCGGCCUCAUCUCACCCCUCAGUCUUUGCCUUCUAGGCAGAAGAAGAUGCAGACGAAGACGACGACAAGAUGCAGAACGGCAAAGACAGAGGUUAGCAGAGCAGCGGGGACACAGAGAAGCCCGGCCCGCAGGACGAGGAGCACGCCGGCCCCGACACGACGAAGGCACGGGCGUCCGCCCGGAGGCGCAUUCCAGGCCGGCCCGCCGCCGCCGCUGCACACCUGCACCAGGCCUGCGGGCGCCGGGCG